AAGGCUAAAUACUCCUGACUGACCGAUAGUGAACCAGUACCGUGAGGGAAAGGCGAAAAGAACCCCGGCGAGGGGAGUGAAAAAGAACCUGAAACCGUGUACGUACAAGCAGUGGGAGCCCCACCACCAAAGCAUUCUCUGGUGUUGAAGGCCCUGCAAAGCAGCAUCGCGGUGGCGGAGCGUCGUUUGCGACGCCCAACACACAAAACAAGCGGUGAGUGCUUUGGGGUGGGGUGACUGCGUACCUUUUGUAUAAUGGGUCAGCGACUUAUAUUCUGUAGCAAGGUUAACCGAAUAGGGGAGCCGCAGGGAAACCGAGUCUUAACCGGGCGUUAAGUUGCAGGGUAUAGACCCGAAACC
rnacentral:rRNA from 1 species